GGCUCCGUGGCGCAAUGGAUAGCGCAUUGGACUUCUAGAGGCUGAAGGCAUUCAAAGGUUCCGGGUUCGAGUCCCGGCGGAGUCG
rfam:Mus musculus chromosome 3, GRC primary reference assembly.